UGCCAGCAGCCGCGGUAAUACAGAGGGUGCAAACGUUGUUCGGAAUUACUGGGCGUAAAGAGCAUGUAGGCGGUUUUUUAAGUCAGUUGUGAAAGCCCAUGGCUCAACCAUGGAAGUGCGACUGAUACUGGAUAACUUGAGUCCCGGAGAGGGUGGCGGAAUUCCCAGUGUAGAGGUGAAAUUCGUAGAUAUCGGGAGGAACACCAGUGGCGAAGGCGGCCACCUGGCCAGAUACUGACGCUGAGGUGCGAAAGUGUGGGGAGCAAACAGGAUUAGAUA
rnacentral:rRNA from 1 species